rnacentral:tRNA from 1 species
AGGUAUACCUCAGUGGUAGAGGACAUGCCUAAAAUGUGUGAGACCCUAGGUUCAAUCCCCAGCACGCCUG